rnacentral:lncRNA from 1 species
NCUUUAAUUUACUACAAUAGCUACAAAUAUAGUAACGCUUUCCUUGUCUUCAUCCCCUUUAGUGUUCCCCAAAGGGGAGACGAAGGGUUCCCCUUCGGGGAAGAAAACGAAGGGGAAGAACUAAAGCGGAAGAAGAAGAAGACGUCCCCUUUAGUUCCCCCUUAGGGGAUGAAGACUUUGGUUCCCCUUUAGGGGAAGCGCUUGUUGACUCCGUCAAAGCCUUAGCUGUACUUGUACUUUAUUGUAGUUAAACUGCAUCGACCAGAGGCCUUAAUUACCUUUGGGUCUUUGACCCUCGUCUAAAAGUAAGUUUGUUGGUCAUCGUUAAGCCGAUAUCUGGGAAUACGCAUCAGGUUAACGUACAACUUCGUUGUAAGUAACGUGUGCGCUAGUUGUCCCCCUUCGGUUCCUUCCCCUUUUGACGGAGGGGUUCCCCUUUAGGGGAAGAAAAGCUAUUCGCAGAGCAGCGGUACGUUAUCUUUUAGGGGCAAAGCCCUUGACGCAAUUACUACUAGUAAUGGACUCUGUCAAAGUCAGGGCCAAGCCCGGUAAUCUCCAGCAUCAACUACGUACACGUAUGUAUAUUUAUUCCUUUAUUUUAGGUAGAAAAAACAAAACAAAAAGUAUAUUACGAAACUAAUUGUGGAACUACAUAAUUAGUUAGCUUCUUAAAAGUAUCCUGAGUUGUACUUGUAGUUCGACAAGUACGUAGGAUCUUUGCCCUUUAUGGUGAUUUGCUGCGCCAAUCUGGAGCGGAGAACUACAACUUAGCUUANAAUUAGCUUUAGGGAUGUUUUUAGUCCCUACAUUGGAGUUUCUAUGUUGUCCCCUUCGGGGAAAACAAACAACAUCGGCUUAGACCUAAACUAAUAACUUGGGCCGGAGGCCUACUACGUUAAGUAUGUUNUUAUACUCGUUUCCCUAGGAAAACCUAACGUAGUAGGCCCCAGCGUUUGGGACUAUGGAACUAUAGCAGGCCUUCGGCUAUUGUGGAUUUAAACACUGGGGCCGGAGGCCCUAGCGUCAAGGUGCUUAUUCGUAAGUUACUUUGUUUGCAAAAUUUACAAGCCCUUAAAAAAUUCUAUUCCUAAAAAAUAAAAACUGCGUUGAGUGUUUUAAGAGUAAAAAGGCUACUCUGCUAAUUGUAUUAUUGAAUUUAUGAAAACCUAUAAAUAAGAUACCAUGUUUUUAACUAGCAUGAUUUUAACUACGAACUACAUAAAGUUACAAUGAUGCCUCCACACCAAACAAGACUAGCGGCUGGUGCUCUACACCUAGCUUGUAAUUUCUAAGACAUAAUACAUAGUUAAAACUACAACCAACAUUAGUGAACUUUCAUCCGGCCUAAGGCCGGAUACUAAACGUACUGGUGCGGUGCACAAAGCUUAACUUUCGGCCAGAAGCCUACUUACUAGGUUUGCACACUUAUGUUGUGAACACACAAGGUCGAAGACCCGAAUAAUCUAAAUUACAACGUAGUCUAUUCUACAACGAAUAUUUAUAAGGGCCCUUGGCUUAUGGAACCAAGGCCCUAUUUUUUUAAUAAUCUCGGGCCUAGAAUAAUGAAUGUUCCACAAGGAAUUUCGCCCUUAGUUUUAUGGCUUCGUUGUCUAAGCCUGACGCCGUUAGCAUC